ACGGGAGGCAGCAGUAGGGAAUAUUGCACAAUGGGGGGAACCCUGAUGCAGCAACGCCACGUGUGGGAAGAAGCAUUUCGGUGUGUAAACCACUGUCGUGAGGGAAUAAUGCUUGGUCUCGGCCAAGUUGAAUGUACCUCGAAAGGAAGCACCGGCAAACUUCGUGACAGCAGCCGCGGUAAUACGAGGGGUGCAAGCGUUGUGCGGAAUCACUGGGCGUGAAGGGAGCGUAGGCGGAGACGCAAGCAGUCUGUACAAUACCGGGGCCCAACCCCGGACCUGCAGACUGGACUGUGACUCUUGGAUAGUGCAGGGGCAGGCGGAAUUCCUGGUGUAGCGGUGGAAUGCGUAGAGAUCAGGAAGAACACCGAUGGCGAAGGCAGCCUGCUGGGGACUCAUCGACGCUGAGGCUCGAAAGUGCGGGUAGCAAACAGGAUUAGAUACCCUGGUA
rnacentral:rRNA from 1 species